rnacentral:rRNA from 1 species
GACGAACCGUCCAAACGUUAUUCGGAAUCACUGGGCUUAAAGGGCGCGUAGGUGGGUUGGCCAGUCUAUGGUGAAAUCCUCCGGCUUAACCGGAGAACUGCCGUGGAUACUGCCAGUCUCGAGGAGGGUAGGGGCGUCUGGAACUAGCGGUGGAGCGGUGAAAUGCGUUGAUAUCGCUAGGAACUCCGGUGGCGAAGGCGAGACGCUGGACCCUUUCUGACACUGAGGCGCUAAAGCCAGGGGAGCGAACGGG